rnacentral:lncRNA from 1 species
CAUUCUUGGAGUUAAUGGCAUGAGACUGUGCUCGUGGGACUGGUUGGUGAGUCAGUGACAGAAUUUGGCUAUGUGGUGCAAUAGGUUGUAGUUGUUGUUGGCUGUGUUGGUGGUGAACUUGCAUCUCAUCAUGAGAUUGUGGGAUAUGUUUGUGAUAGUAGAGAUGAUGAGGGUUAAAUUGUGUGGUUGUUGUUGUUGUUGCUGUUAUGUGUGGUGGUAUUGGGGUGUUGGUGGUAAUAUGAGAAAUAGGGUUAGGGUCCAGUGGAUCUGGUGGUGGUGGGGGUUGGACUGUGAGUUGUGAUAAUUUGAUAGAGUUGCAAAAUAGCAAUCUACCAAGAUCUAUGAAAUUUACUCUACUCCUAAGGAAAUAAACUAAGAAGCUAAUAAAAGGAUAAAUUUCUUCAUAUUUCAUUCAUUGAUUCCUAUUAUGCAUAAACAACAUCAUAUUUAAAGAGAAAGGAUGAAAACCUAAUAUGAUGAUGACCAUACAAGUGUCAUCAUCUUACAUGAAAGGAACAUUCUAGAAAUACUAAUGUAAUAUUACUAUCUAAAUAAUCAACUAUAAUAUUUUAUCCUAUUCCCAUUCUAAUUAAUCUUAUAACAAACAUUAUAAUUAUUAUCCUAUCAUAGUGUUGUUUCAGAGUGCGGAAGCACUGCUCUAGUGCAGAAACACAAACACCAUGAU